GCUCCCUUAGCUCAGCCGGAUAGAGCAACUGCCUUCUAAGCAGUCGGUCGUUGGUUCGAAUCCAACAGGGAGCG
rnacentral:tRNA from 3 species